rnacentral:tRNA from 1 species
GCCGAUGUGGUGGAACGGCAUACACACCAGUUCGAGGGGCUGGCGGCGCAAGCCCUGUCGGUUCGAGUCCGACCAUCGGCACCA